AAAUUUUCCCUUAAUAUCACAAGUUCUGCAUAUCGACAAAUUGACUCAAAUUCCAUUUUUGAGUAAAGAUGAAAUCCGUUCGAUUGAAAUAAAAUCACCUGACCUUGCAAUCAACAGUCAUCGUGAUGAAUUUGGUAGAAGUGUCUAAAUCAGAUUUAAAGUUCUGUCAAGAGAGAGCAAAACCGGAUUUUAUUUGUUGCAAGAAGCAAGCAAGUGUUUCAUCAGAAAUUAGCUUUUGGAAUGUAUGCCAAGAAUCUAUGGAUAUUUGCAACAAACGGAUCUCUUUUGCUUUCUGCUUUUUGCUGAGAUGGAACACCUAACAUAGAACUACAAGGAGCCGGAUAUUUAAUUGCAAGUCCUGGAUGCUAAAUUCGAUUUCAAUAACAACACGAGAUUCAACAGAUACUACACUUCUGGCAUCAUAUGCUCAGUAUCGCAAGUUCUUUUUGGCAAACUCCCAUUACCCCACUAAAAAUGUGAAAAAUGCUUACGGAGCGUUACUACAAACAUGAAUCGGUCGUUAAAGGAAUAUUAAGCUCACUAUCAAAGAGGAAAACAAACGCACCCAAAUUAGACAAAACGACUGAAAUCACUGUGCCAAACGAAGCGCUGACCAAAAAAAGAUUCUUGUUUCUAAGUUACCCAACCUAUACCGAUCAAUCACCUAACAAACCAAAUUGUCGUAAAUAAAUUCUAUGUCCCGUCUAUAAAAAGGGGUAAUAUAAAUGAGAUAAAAAUACAAGUAAAUGACGAACAAGAUACUGCACCGUAGAAUCACCGUUGAGGAAUCCCACAAACGCAAUGGACCCGUUCAAUUGCCAAGAAUAUGGACAUACGAAAACCUUUUGCACUCUGCGAAGUCUGAGUUGCCUGUGGGGAUGCACAUACAUCUAGCAACUGUGGGGAAAACCACACCGCAAACUGUCUAUAAAGAUUUAAAAAAUCGCCUAAGUCAACAAAUAACUGCAGCUCGAGACCGUAAAUACCAUCAACCUCGACCCCGUUAAGUUACACUUCAUCAAACCACUGUAGGAAUAAUGCAGCAACAGACAUCGAAGGCCUUGCGCAUCAGACUCACCUAACGAACAAAAACAGUUUCCACUUUAAUGGCUAUACAUUUGUAAGGGAUUCCAUCAAAAUAAAAUAACUUUCUACAUUGA